CCUAUACUUCCGGAUUUAAAAGAUUAUUUGCUGCAUAAUGAAGAAACUGUGAAAAGGGGAUAUUUUUUCACAUUUCAUACACCAAAGAGUUAUUCAUCUGUCCAGGAUGGAGUUUGCAGAAUUCAUCAAGGUUCCUAAGCUGGACGGCGUGGUGCUGAGGCUGCCGUUCAAGGAGCCAGUGGAGGGCACCCUGUGUAUCACGGGGCACCACCUAUUCUUGUCCUCCAGGAAGACUAUGAAAGAGGAGCUGUGGCUGGAACACAGUGCUGUGGACGCUGUUGAGAAGAAAUUGUCCAAUCAGAAUGGAGGAACUUUGACGCUCAAGUGCAAAAACUUCAUGAUAGUAGAGCUGGAUGUCCCCACGGCCGAAGACUGUCUGCAGAUAGCACACUCUGUGGAGUCACUGUCAAAUAUACAUAAUCUGUCUCUGAAAUACCCCUUCUUCUAUCGUGCCAAUUUUGAGAUGCUAGAGGAUGGGUGGACAGCAUUUAUGCCAGAGUCUGAGUUCAACAAAGUAGGGUCCUCAGAUCAGUGGAGGAUCAGCUAUGUCAACAAUCAUUUUGAGGUUUGCCCAAGCUAUUCUUAUGCUGUGAUUGUACCAAAGUCUAUUGAUGACGAGACCAUAGCUAAAGCAGCCAGUUUUAGACAUCACAAUAGAUUCCCUGUGCUGUCUUAUUACCAUAAAGAGAAUGGGCGUGCAAUUAUACGCUCCUCACAGCCCCUAGUUGGACCAAACAUGCGACGUUGCAAGGAAGACGAACAGUUGUUGAAUGCAACACUCAACAGGGGGAAAGGGUACAUCGUGGACACCCGAAUACAGUCUUCUGCCAAGAUGGCACAGGCCAAAGGUGGAGGGUUUGAGCCUGAACAGCACUACCACCAGUGGAAGCGCAUACAUCAGCCGGUAGAAAGACAGAAAUAUUUUCACGAAGCUCUCAUUAAGUUUGUUGAAGCCUGCAUGGAUUUUGGCAGUAGUACAGAGAAGUGGCUGUCAAGACUGGAGUCCAGUGGCUGGCUCAAUAACAUCAAAGAAGUUCUCACAUGUGCCUGUGUCGUGGCACAGUGUGUAGACAAAGAUGAUGCUACAGUGUUAGUCCAUGGUUCAGAAGGGAUGGAUACCACAUUACAGGUUACAGCACUGGCACAACUUAUACUGGACCAUGACUGCAGGACUAUAAGAGGGUUUGAAGCUCUGAUAGAGCGAGAGUGGUUACAGUCUGGACAUCCUUUUGCUGACCGCUGUGCCAAGUCCGCCUUCGCAAUGACCAAACAGAGGAAUGAGUCACCUGUGUUUUUACUUUUCCUGGACUGUGUUUGGCAGAUUUGGCAGCAGUUUCCUUGCUCCUUUGAAUUUAACGAAGAUUUCCUUCUCAUGUUGUUUGAGCAGGCAUAUUCUUCACAAUUUGGGACAUUUUUGUGCAAUAAUGACUGUGAGAGAAAGAAGUAUAAGCUGGCCAGUAAAACAGUAUCUCUGUGGUCAUAUGUGAACAGACCAGAAGUAUUGGAGAAGUACAUCAACCACCUGUACCAGCCCAACCAGUCUCCAAUAUGGCCGUCUGUGGCACCCCAGUCUCUGGUAAGUACAUCAACCACCUGUACCAGCCCAACCAGUCUCCAAUAUGGCCGUCUGUGGCACCCCAGUCUCUGGUAAGUACAUCAACCACCUGUACCAGCCCAACCAGUCUCCAAUAUGGCCGUCUGUGGCACCCCAGUCUCUGGUAAGUACAUCAACCACCUGUACCAGCCCAACCAGUCUCCAAUAUGGCCGUCUGUGGCACCCCAGUCUCUGGUAAGUACAUCAACCACCUGUACCAGCCCAACCAGUCUCCAAUAUGGCCGUCUGUGGCACCCCAGUCUCUGGUAAGUACAUCAACCACCUGUACCAGCCCAACCAGUCUCCAAUAUGGCCGUCUGUGGCACCCCAGUCUCUGGUAAGUACAUCAACCACCUGUACCAGCCCAACCAGUCUCCAAUAUGGCCGUCUGUGGCACCCCAGUCUCUGGUAAGUACAUCAACCACCUGUACCAGCCCAACCAGUCUCCAAUAUGGCCGUCUGUGGCACCCCAGUCUCUGGUAAGUACAUCAACCACCUGUACCAGCCCAACCAGUCUCCAAUAUGGCCGUCUGUGGCACCCCAGUCUCUGGUAAGUACAUCAACCACCUGUACCAGCCCAACCAGUCUCCAAUAUGGCCGUCUGUGGCACCCCAGUCUCUGGUAAGUACAUCAACCACCUGUACCAGCCCAACCAGUCUCCAAUAUGGCCGUCUGUGGCACCCCAGUCUCUGGUAAGUACAUCAACCACCUGUACCAGCCCAACCAGUCUCCAAUAUGGCCGUCUGUGGCACCCCAGUCUCUGGUAAGUACAUCAACCACCUGUACCAGCCCAACCAGUCUCCAAUAUGGCCGUCUGUGGCACCCCAGUCUCUGGUAAGUACAUCAACCACCUGUACCAGCCCAACCAGUCUCCAAUAUGGCCGUCUGUGGCACCCCAGUCUCUGGUAAGUACAUCAACCACCUGUACCAGCCCAACCAGUCUCCAAUAUGGCCGUCUGUGGCACCCCAGUCUCUGGAGGUAUGGCAAGGAUUGUACUUAAGGUGGAAAAUUGACAGGAGUGGUCACCAAGAUGCGUGGAAGGAGAUUUUUAAAGUGAGG